UUUACUUUUUAUAUAAUUAAUAAAUACUUUAUUAUCAAAAUAAGUAAUAAGAUAUACUAAGACUUAUAAAAUAUAGGAAUACAAUUUUGUUUUCUAUGAAUCAAUACUUCAUUACUGCAAAUCAAGAGUUAAACAAUAAAAAAUUAAGGGAUAGACCCCCAAACCUACAAUCCAACAAGACAACAGACGCAUGAGCCAACAGGUAUGCUACCUAGUUCGCUGGACGACAAACAAAACAGAAGAAACUAUUAGCAAAUACCUUUAACAAACAAUGACAAUCAUCAACUAUUGAAUUAAAACUGAACCGGGCUUGAACAUUGAAGUGUAGAGAUUAACACUAAAGAAUCAGAUUCAAUAAUCACAUUUUGUUGAUCACGAGACUUUAACCAGUUAAAGGCCUCCCUGAAAGAAAGAGCUUCAGCCACACGAGCAUCUAAAGGGCCAGCUAGAAGACCAGAUUUCGCACACAAUAAAUGAAUCCGAGCGGUCUCGAACUAUGCAACCAUAGCUCACUGAUGAGAGAAUAAUGCUGCAUCAACAUUAAAUUUAAUCAUAUCAAGACGAGGUUUCUGCCAAAUACAGACAAAAUGCUCCCUUGAAACUGUCGGACCAGCAGGCACAUCAGGCAUAUGAGCAGCAAGAUUGAGUUAGAAAUGAGAGAGCAUCCUGAACUAGUUGGCCUGCAGGCUUAAAAUGUCCAUUCCACCCAAAAUCGUUUAUGUUGGACUAUAUACUCCAAGCUAAGACAGCUGCAAUCUGAAGUGAAUCCUUGGAAUGAUUGGCUGCCACUUUCCACCAUAGGAAUACAAUUAUUACAAAUUAGUUGUUCCAAAAUAAAAUAUAAUUGCAAGAUUGGGGAAAAAAGAGACAACAGUAGUCUCUUCGCAUUUGGACCUUCAAUACGAAAAUGGAAGGGCAACUAAAAAGGAGGCCUAAGACAAACAUAUUAGGCCAUCAAAAAGCUUCAUACAAAUCAAACUCAAAAGAACGGAAUGCAUAAAUAGGGCAGCAUUUAUAUGGAGAUAGAGAAACUACCGAAAUCCACAUCAUAAAGAUAGGUGGGAAGUUAUCAUCGAAAGAUCCAGUAAACGUCCUAAAUGCAUACUGUUAAGACAGGUAGCAAGUCAUCAUACUUCCUAAAUGUCUAUGGUCAAGACAGGUGGCAAGUCAUCAUGCAAAUAAACAAAAGAAAG
rnacentral:lncRNA from 1 species